rnacentral:rRNA from 1 species
UACGUAGGGUGCAAGCGUUGUCCGGAAUUAUUGGGCGUAAAGAGCUCGUAGGCGGUCUGUCGCGUCUGCUGUGAAAACUCAGGGCUUAACCCUGAGCUUGCAGUGGGUACGGGCAGACUAGAGUGCGGUAGGGGAGACUGGAAUUCCUGGUGUAGCGGUGAAAUGCGCAGAUAUCAGGAGGAACACCGGUGGCGAAGGCGGCUCUCUGGGACGGUACUGGACGCUGAGACGCGAAAGCGUGGGGAGCGAACAGG